GUUGCAUUGGACGAGGGUAAUCUUCGUGAAGCUGGCGUUUGAGCUUUGCGGGUGACGCCUGUUUGGGUGAUUGCUGCUGCUGCUUGUAUGCGAUCUAUUAAAGUAAGGGUUGCUGGAUAGAUGAUGUGGUUCGCAUUAUCUGGUGUUUGAACCGUCCUGUGAGCGUGCCUGCUUUUGUGCUCCCGGCUCUGCAUGGCUUAUAGCAGGGACUACAGCAUGAUUUGCAAUUUCAACACUGCUGUUUUGCUUUUACAUGAUAUUUAAUUAAUCUGUUUUGCCUUAAUAUUGCAUUCACUAUUAUGUUUGGUAUUCAUUAAUUUUUGUUUUGCUUGAAUUUAUGUUUUGCAUGUAAGUCUUGUGUUUGCAGUCAGUUGAUUUAGUUGCUUUGUAUUCAUUACUUCGUUUUGCUUUAAUGUAUGUUUUGUAUUUAAGUCUUACAUUUGUUUGGUUUGCAUUCAUUAUUUUUGGAUUUGCAUUUAAGUUUGUUGCAUUAUUACUGUUUGUUUUGCAGUCGAGCAUUCUGUUUGGUAUUUAAUAAUUUAAUAAUAUGUGGUUUUGUGCAUGUGUGGGUAUUCAGUAGUACGGGCCUUAUUGAAUCCCGGCGUAUUCUUGUCUUUUUUGUUGUUGUUGUUGUUUUGUAUGUAUUUCAUGGCAGCUUGUUGCACUUGUUGUGUAUAAUCUUAAUUUGUAUUAAUUAAAUUUUAUUUCAAGGUAUUCAUGUCUCUGGG